CGCAAUGGCGGCUGUGCGCGGGACACCUUCGGGUGUGCCGGGUUCCUAGAGUCCCGGUCGGCCAACCUGCGUACAGUCGCCCCCAUC
rnacentral:antisense_RNA from 1 species